rnacentral:rRNA from 1 species
GCUCCAAUAGCGUAUACUAAAGUUGUUGCAGUUAAAAAGCUCGUAGUUGAAUUUCUGGUCGUGGCAACCGGUCCGCCUCACGGGGUGUGCACCAGGUUUCUGCGGCCAUCCUCGGGGAGAGCACAUCGGGCAUUCAGUUGUCUGGUGUGGGAUCCUCGUCAUUUACUGUGAGCAAAUAGAGUGUUCAAAGCAGGCUUAGG